UACGGAAGGCAGCAGUGGGGAAUAUUGCACAAUGGGCGCAAGCCUGAUGCAGCCAUGCCGCGUGUAUGAAAAAGGCCUUUCGGGUUGUAAAGUACUUUCAGUCGUGAGGAAGGUGUUAAGGUUAAUAACCUUAGCAAUUGACGUUAGCGACAGAAGAAGCACCGGCUAACUCCGUGCCAGCAGCCGCGGUAAUACGGAGGGUGCGAGCGUUAAUCGGAAUUACUGGGCGUAAAGGGCACGCAGGCGGUUAAUUAAGUUGGAUGUGAAAUCCCCGGGCUUAACCUGGGAAUGGCAUUCAAGACUGGUUAGCUAGAGUCUUGUAGAGGGGGUAGAAUUCCAUGUGUAGCGGUGAAAUGCGUAGAGAUGUGGAGGAAUACCGGUGGCGAAGGCGGCCCCUGGACAAAGACUGACGCUCAUGUGCGAAAGCGUGGGGAGCAAACAGGGAUUAGAUACC
rnacentral:rRNA from 1 species